UGUAGAGAUCGGAUGCUAUUCCUUGAUAAUGAUUUCGAUUUCAUCAACGAGUGUAAUUUCUUUGAUUAAAAAAGUGACUGUGAGUCAACAUGUCAGGAGCUCAAGAAGAUGUCUCCAUAAAAAAGGUACUCAAUAAUCUACUUCAGAUUUUAAAUUCAUGUUUAGGUUGAAUCAUUUGAUUCUAGUCGUGACAUUCAAAAUUUUCAUAUUUAUUAGGUAUUGACACUCAUCCCAUAAUGAGCUGCAACCAAUCAAGCCUGCCUGCAACCACAUGGGAUUGCUGUCAGCUUCCCGCCAAAGAAGCAGCUUCAGGACACCAAGGCAGAAUCAUUAGAAACAUUCAAUGAAGGGGUUGGUUAUAUUUUGAAUAAUUGGUUGGCUCUUUGAGGCACUGUUGAUUACCAACAAGGUGGCAAAAACUCUCACCUCAAAGCUAAAAAACUCAUUAACGAAAUCCGUUCUUGGUUCAUUCAAUCCAAUGAUUUCAAGUGAUAUCAGACAUUUGAAGUGUUCAAGAAGCUGUUCAGCCGCCAUUGCUGUCUUUUUGGCUAAAAGAAAUCUAAACCUAAUCUUUGAGUUUGAAUGCCACCAUCGAUCUCGUUUGUUGGUUCCAUAAAAACGGUGAAACAGUACAUGAUUACGCCUACCCCAGCACAUUCAGAGAGGAAGACCAUCACCCAUGUUGGAAGGGAGGCAGAAUUAAUGCCUCUAUGAAGUUUGAUAGGGAUUUGAGCUAUAGCCCUACACAGUCUAAGUUAGACUUAGAAUUCGCGAUGAUAAUGUCCUUGUCUGCACAAGAGGCAGCCACAUUCUGCUCAAGUAUUUUCUGAAGUGAAAGCCAUCCUAGAGGAAGUUGAAGAAGCAACAGAGGAAGGCUUCACUAUACUAUGUCUUAUUAUUGUCUAGAUACUGAGCAACAUAUCUAUACAUAUCCCAUCAUCAUACACUGUGGAGUAUGCUGAGAAAAACCGAGAAAACGGCCUAAGGUCUGACUAGAGGAGAGGAUAACGGAAUCAUACAUGAUUUCAAGUGAAAUCAGACAUUUGAAGUGUUCAAGAAGCUGUUCAGCCGCCAUUGCUUUCUUUUUGGCCAAAAGAAAUCUAAACCUAAUCUUUGAGUUUGAAUGCCACCGUCGAUCUCGUUUGUUGGUUCCAUAAAAACGGUACUAAAAAAUUAUCAUUUACAUGGUAAAUGUCUUUGUUUCAGUUUGGCUAAAAUUAUCGUUUGUUUCAGUUUAAAUCAUUUACGACUUCACAUUUUGCUGCUGACUUUGUUU